AUUGAACGCUGGCGGCAGGCUUAACACAUGCAAGUCGAACGGUAGCAGGAGAAAGCUUGCUUUCUUGCUGACGAGUGGCGGACGGGUGAGUAAUGCUUGGGAAUCUGGCCUAUGGAGGGGGGAUAACGACGGGAAACUGUCGCUAAUACCGCGUAUUAUCGGAAGAUGAAAGUGCGGGACUGAGAGGCCGCAUGCCAUAGGAUGAGCCCAAGUGGGAUUAGGUAGUUGGUGGGGUAAAGGCCUACCAAGCCUGCGAUCUCUAGCUGGUCUGAGAGGAUGACCAGCCACACUGGAACUGAGACACGGUCCAGACUCCUACGGGAGGCAGCAGUGGGGAAUAUUGCGCAAUGGGGGGAACCCUGACGCAGCCAUGCCGCGUGAAUGAAGAAGGCCUUAGGGUUGUAAAGUUCUUUCGGUAUUGAGGAAGGUUGAUGUGUUAAUAGCACAUCAAAUUGACGUUAAAUACAGAAGAAGCACCGGCUAACUCCGUGCCAGCAGCCGCGGUAAUACGGAGGGUGCGAGCGUUAAUCGGAAUAACUGGGCGUAAAGGGCACGCAGGCGGUUAUUUAAGUGAGGUGUGAAAGCCCCGGGCUUAACCUGGGAAUUGCAUUUCAGACUGGGUAACUAGAGUACUUUAGGGAGGGGUAGAAUUCCACGUGUAGCGGUGAAAUGCGUAGAGAUGUGGAGGAAUACCGAAGGCGAAGGCAGCCCCUUGGGAAUGUACUGACGCUCAUGUGCGAAGGCGUGGGGAGCAAACAGG
rnacentral:rRNA from 1 species